rnacentral:rRNA from 1 species
AUUGAACGCUGGCGGCAUGCUUUACACAUGCAAGUCGAACGGUAACAGGGUGCUUGCACCGCUGACGAGUGGCGAACGGGUGAGUAAUGCGUCGGAACGUGCCGAGUAGUGGGGGAUAACGCAGCGAAAGUUGUGCUAAUACCGCAUACGUACUGAGGUAGAAAGUGGGGGACCUUCGGGCCUCACGCUAUUCGAGCGGCCGACGUCUGAUUAGCUAGUAGGUGAGGUAAAGGCUCACCUAGGCGACGAUCAGUAGCGGGUCUGAGAGGAUGAUCCGCCACACUGGGACUGAGACACGGCCCAGACUCCUACGGGAGGCAGCAGUGGGGAAUUUUGGACAAUGGGCGAAAGCCUGAUCCAGCCAUGCCGCGUGUCUGAAGAAGGCCUUCGGGUUGUAAAGGACUUUUGUCGGGGAGGAAAUCCCCAGCGCUAAUACCGCUGGGGGAUGACAGUACCUGAAGAAUAAGCACCGGCUAACUACGUGCCAGCCGCCGCGGUAAAAC